rnacentral:tRNA from 1 species
GCCGAGAUAGCUCAGCUGGGAGAGCGUUAGACUGAAGAUCUAAAGGUCCCCGGUUCGAUCCCGGGUCUCGGCA